rnacentral:rRNA from 1 species
AUACGGAGGGGGUUAGCGUUGUUCGGAAUUACUGGGCGUAAAGCGCACGUAGGCGGACUGGAAAGUUGGGGGUGAAAUCCCGGGGCUCAACCCCGGAACUGCCUCCAAAACUUCCAAUCUAGAGAUCGAGAGAGGUGAGUGGAAUUCCAAGUGUAGAGGUGAAAUUCGUAGAUAUUUGGAGGAACACCAGUGGCGAAGGCGGCUCACUGGCUCGAUACUGACGCUGAGGUGCGAAAGCGUGGGGAUCAAACAGGAUUAGAAACCCGUGUAGUCC